CACACACACACAGCCCACAAACAGCACCCACACACACACACACACACAUCACCCACACACACAGAGCACACUAACAGCAUCCUCACAAACACACAAAACCCACAUACAACACUCGCACAGCACCCACACACAAACAGCACCCUCACAAACACACAACACCCACACACAGCACACUAACAGAACCCUAACAAACACGCACACACAAACACCUUCACCCACACACACGGCACACAACCAGUUCCCUCACACACAGCACACACAAACACCCUCACCCACAUAGCACACUACCAGCACCCUCUCACACACACACACACACCGCACCCUUACACACACACACACACAGCACUGUAUGUG